rnacentral:rRNA from 1 species
UGUUUCGGCUAGGGGGUCAUCCCGACUUACCAACCCGAUGCAAACUGCGAAUACCGAAGAAUGUUAUCACGGGAGACACACGGCGGGUGCUAACGUCCGUCGUGAAGAGGGAAACAACCCAGACCGCCAGCUAAGGUCCCAAAGUCAUGGUUAAGUGGGAAACGAUGUGGGAAGGCACAGACAGCCAGGAUGUUGGCUUAGAAGCAGCCAUCAUUUAAAGAAAGCGUAAUAGCUCACUGGUCGAGUCGGCCUGCGCGGAAGAUGUAACGGGGCUAAACCAUGCACCGAAGCUGCGGCAGCGACACUAUGUGUUGUUGGGUAGGGGAGCGUUCUGUAAGCCGUUGAAGGUGUAUCGUGAGGUAUGCUGGAGGUAUCAGAAGUGCGAAUGCUGACAUAAGUAACGAUAAUGCGGGUGAAAAACCCGCACGCCGGAAGACCAAGGGUUCCUGUCCAACGUUAAUCGGGGCAGGGUGAGUCGACCCCUAAGGCGAGGCCGAAAGGCGUAGUCGAUGGGAAACAGGUUAAUAUUCCUGUACUUGGUGUUACUGCGAAGGGGGGACGGAGAAGGCUAUGUUAGCCGGGCGACGGUUGUCCCGGUUUAAGCAUGUAGGCGGAGGUUCCAGGUAAAUCCGGUACCUUUUUAACGCUGAGGUGUGAUGACGAGGCACUACGGUGCUGAAGUAACAAAUGCCCUGCUUCCAGGAAAAGCCUCUAAGCAUCAGGUAACACGAAAUCGUACCCCAAACCGACACAGGUGGUCAGGUAGAGAAUACCAAGGCGCUUGAGAGAACUCGGGUGAAGGAACUAGGCAAAAUGGUGCCGUAACUUCGGGAGAAGGCACGCUGAUAUGUAGGUGAAGUGAUUUACUCAUGGAGCUGAAAUCAGUCGAAGAUACCAGCUGGCUGCAACUGUUUAUUAAAAACACAGCACUGUGCAAACACGAAAGUGGACGUAUACGGUGUGACGCCUGCCCGGUGCCGGAAGGUUAAUUGAUGGGGUUAUCCGUAAGGAGAAGCUCUUGAUCGAAGCCCCGGUAAACGGCGGCCGUAACUAUAACGGUCCUAAGGUAGCGAAAUUCCUUGUCGGGUAAGUUCCGACCUGCACGAAUGGCGUAAUGAUGGCCAGGCUGUCUCCACCCGAGACUCAGUGAAAUUGAACUCGCUGUGAAGAUGCAGUGUACCCGCGGCAAGACGGAAAGACCCCGUGAACCUUUACUAUAGCUUGACACUGAACACUGGUCCUUGAUGUGUAGGAUAGGUGGGAGGCUUUGAAGU